rnacentral:rRNA from 1 species
GAUGAACGCUGGCGGCGUGCCUAAUACAUGCAAGUCGAGCGAACAGAUGAGGAGCUUGCUCCUCUGACGUUAGCGGCGGACGGGUGAGUAACACGUGGAUAACCUACCUAUAAGACUGGGAUAACUUCGGGAAACCGGAGCUAAUACCGGAUAAUAUAUUGAACCGCAUGGUUCAAUAGUGAAAGACGGUUUUGCUGUCACUUAUAGAUGGAUCCGCGCCGCAUUAGCUAGUUGGUAAGGUAACGGCUUACCAAGGCAACGAUGCGUAGCCGACCUGGGAGGGUUAUCGGCCACACUGGAACUGAGGCACGGGCCAGACUCCCACGGGGAGCAGCAGUAGGGAAUCUUCCGGAAUGGGCGAAAGCCUGACGGAGCAACGCCGCGUGAGUGAUGAAGGUCUUCGGAUCGUAAAACUCUGUUAUUAGGGAAGAACAAAUGUGUAAGUAACUAUGCACGUCUUGACGGUACCUAAUCAGAAAGCCACGGCUAACUACGUG